rnacentral:rRNA from 1 species
CAAGUCAAGGGGGCCCAGCAAUGGGCAACCGGCGAACGGGUGCGUAACACGUGAGCAACCUACCCAGGUGUGGGGGAUAGCCGUCCCAACGGACGGGUAAUACCGCAUACGCUCUUCUUUAGGCAUUUAGAGGAGAGGAAACCUUCGGGGCACCAUGAGGGGCUCGCGGCCUAUCAGCUAGUUGGCGAGGUAACGGCUCACCAAGGCUACGACGGGUAGCUGGUCUGAGAGGAUGACCAGCCACAUUGGGACUGAGAAACGGCCCAGACUCCUACGGGAGGCAGCAGUGGGGAAUCUUGCGCAAUGGCCUAACGGCUGACGCAGCGACGCCGCGUGAGGGAUGACGCUCUUCGGAGUGUAAACCUCUUUUGCCUGGAACGAAUUGCGAGCAUUCGCUCGCUUGACGGUACCGGGUGAAUAAGCACCGGCUAACUCCGUGCCAGCAGCCGCGGUAAUACGGGGGGUGCGAGCGUUGUCCGGAAUCACUGGGCGUAAAGGGCGCGUAGGUGGCGUGAUAAGGGUGUGGGUGAAAGCCCGGGGCUCAACCCCGGGUCGGCCAUGCCGACUGUCAGGCUAGAGUGCUGUAGGGGCAGGCGGAAUUCCGGGUGUAGCGGUGGAAUGCGUAGAGAUCCGGAGGAAGACCGGUGGCGAAGGCGGCCUGCUGGGCAGUUACUGACACUGAGUGCGCGACAGCGUGGGGAGCAAACAGGAUUAGAUACCCUGGUAGUCCACGCCGUAAACGAUGGGUACUAGGUGCCUGGGGGAGCGACCCCUUGGGUGCCGGCGCUAACGCAGGAAGUA